UACAGAGGUGGCAAGCGUUGUUCGGAAUUACUGGGCGUAAAGGGCGCGUAGGCGGCCUACUAAGUCAGACGUGAAAUCCCCCGGCUUAACCUGGGAACUGCGUCUGAUACUGGAAGGCUUGAGGAUGGGAGAGGGAUGUAGAAUUCCAGGUGUAGCGGUGAAAUGCGUAGAUAUCUGGAGGAAUACCGGUGGCGAAGGCGGCAUCCUGGACCAUUACUGACGCUGAGGCGCGAAAGCAUGGGGAGCGAACAGG
rnacentral:rRNA from 1 species